rnacentral:rRNA from 1 species
UGAGUUUGAUCAUGGCUCAGAUUGAACGCUGGCGGCAGGCCUAACACAUGCAAGUCGAGCGGUAACAGGACUAGCUUGCUAGUUGCUGACGAGCGGCGGACGGGUGCGUAACACGUAGGAAUCUGCCCGGUAGUGGGGGAUAGCCCGGAGAAAUCCGGAUUAAUACCGCAUACGCCUUACGAGGGAAAGAAGGGGCCUCUUCGGAGCCUUUCGCUAUCGGAUGAGCCUGCGUCGGAUUAGCUAGUUGGUGGGGUAAAGGCCUACCAAGGCGACGAUCCGUAGCUGGUCUGAGAGGAUGAUCAGCCACACUGGGACUGAGACACGGCCCAGACUCCUACGGGAGGCAGCAGUGGGGAAUAUUGCACAAUGGGGGAAACCCUGAUGCAGCCAUGCCGCGUGUGUGAAGAAGGCUCUAGGGUUGUAAAGCACUUUCAGCGAGGAGGAAAGGUUGCUGGUUAAUACCCAGCGGCUGUGACGUUACUCGCAGAAGAAGCACCGGCUAACUCCGUGCCAGCAGCCGCGGUAAUACGGAGGGUGCGAGCGUUAAUCGGAAUUACUGGGCGUAAAGCGUGCGUAGGCGGCCAUGUAAGUUGGAUGUGAAAGCCCCGGGCUC